GAGUACACAUGCCACGUCCUCAUCUCCAGCCUGAGGCUGCCCGAGGACCACCCCACCCCACCCCCAUCCAAAGAUGGCAUCUGCAGUGGAGCCCAGUACUCAACAGCAGCAGGAGCCAAGGAAGCUCCUGAGAGGCCAAGUCAGGACCUGAGAGACAAGAAAGAGGCAGGCUGGGUCCCAGAGGCAUGUGGCCAUGUCUGCCCAGGCACUCUGUCCAUCCCCUCUAAGGACUCUAACCACAUGGAGCAGUCGACAGUUGGCUCUGUAGGCCCUGCCCACCAGCUUCCCCUGAUAACAUGUGCACCAAAGGCCAUGGAACCAACUGCAUUUCAGCAGCACCUCCCAGAGGUGGCCCUAGAAGACAGAGCUUCUGGAGGGACAUUUUUCAACCAAGGCUUUGGGGGCGAGGAGAAGUCAGAGGUUUGGAUCUGCAGCGACCCUGGAUACGGGCAAGUGGCUUAGAAGGAAGUAAGGUCAGAGCCUGGGCCGUAAGAUUGGAAAGUUAGAAGUGGGAGGUUUGGAGAGAGAUGCUAAUGAACUGAGAGGGUGGGUCCAGGGUGCUGGCCUUUUCCCAGGGACUCUGGCUGGGUACUGACAAGAACACAAUCAAGGAGCAGGGUGCUCAUCAGAUUAGGGUCAGCUGACUCUCUCCUAACUUUCUGAACCUAAACAGUGCUGCCCACAGCUGAGGGGGCUCCAAGGGCACUUCCCACCCAAUGCCAGCCCAUCAGUAUAGUAGAGCUGCUUACAGUCUCCCAGGGAAUCUCUCCCCUCAGCAAGGCCAAGGACAUCUUUAGAAACUUGAAGCUAUUACAUCCUUGCAGCCAGGAGGCAUUUGGGACCACUGGGGUUGGUUAGUACUCCAGGUCUGUGUUUGUCAUCACUGCCACACACUUGUUCCCCUUGACUCAUGAGGCCUCACAAAGUACCCCAUCUACAAACAAAGGGCCCUGCACAAUGCUGUCAUGACCUAGGGGCCUGCAUGACCUAGCUCCCUGUCUUACAACUCAUCACCCAAAACCUGCAGACCAGGGGGAUGAUUAAAAGGCUCCUUAAGACCUUAGCCAAAGUCUCAAGGUGAGAAGAGAUCAAAUACCCAGCAUUUGAAGGUGAUUUUACAGGAAAGGGUUUAUCUAAACAAUGGUAUGUUGGUAAACAAGGAUGAAAAUACAGUUCUGACAAUCAC
rnacentral:lncRNA from 1 species